rnacentral:misc_RNA from 1 species
GAAAUGCGAUAAGUAAUGUGAAUUGCAGAAUUCAGUGAAUCAUCGAAUCUUUGAACGCACCUUGCGCUCCUUGGUAUUCCGAGGAGCAUGCCCGUUUGAGUGUCAUGGAAUUCUCAACUCUAUUUGCUUUUGUGAAUAGAGCUUGGAUUUGGAGGUUUAUUGCUGGUACUUGUGAUCGGCUCCUCUUGAAUGCAUUAGCUCGAACCUUUGCGGAUCAGCUAUCGGUGUGAUAAUUGUCUACGCCGUUGCAGUGAAGCAUAUCAAUGGGCUCGGCUUCCAAUCGUCCUUUACUGGACAAUGACUUUGACCUUUGACCUCAAAUCAGGUAGGAUUACCCGCUGAACUUAAGC